AUACGUAGGUGGCAAGCGUUGUCCGGAAUUAUUGGGCGUAAAGCGCGCGCAGGCGGUCCUUUAAGUCUGAUGUGAAAGCCCACGGCUCAACCGUGGAGGGUCAUUGGAAACUGGGGGACUUGAGUGCAGAAGAGGAAAGUGGAAUUCCAAGUGUAGCGGUGAAAUGCGUAGAGAUUUGGAGGAACACCAGUGGCGAAGGCGACUGUCUGGUCUGUAACUGACACUGAGGCGCGAAAGCGUGGGGAGCAAACAGGAUUAGAUACCCUGGUAGUCCACGCCGUAAACGAUGAGUGCUAAGUGUUGGGGGGUUUCCGCCCCUCAGUGCUGCAGCUAACGCAUUAAGCACUCCGCCUGGGGAGUACGGUCGCAAGACUGAAACUCAAAUGAAUUGACGGGG
rnacentral:rRNA from 1 species